GGCCGACUAGCUCAGUUGGUUAGAGCGUGGUGCUAAUAUGCAUUGUUGUGCAAACUUUGUCACGUGACGCCAAGGUCGUCGGUUCGACCCCGGCGUUGGCCA